UACGUAGGGAGCAAGCGUUGUCCGGAAUCAUUUGGCGUAAAGCGCGCGUCGGCGGCCCCGUCAGUCCGCUGUGAAAGUCAAAGGCUCAACCUUUGAAAGCCGGUGGAUACUGUGGGGCUAGAGUCCGGAAGAGGCGAGUGGAAUUCCUGGUGUAGCGGUGGAAUGCGCAGAUAUCAGGAGGAGCACCAAUAGCGAAGGCAGCUCGCUGGGACGGUACUGACGCUAAGGCGCGAAAGCGUGGGGAGCGAACAGG
rnacentral:rRNA from 1 species